rnacentral:rRNA from 1 species
UAUGUGAUCGUCUCUCGCAUAUCAAUAAGCGGAGGAAAAGAAACUAACAAGGAUUCCCCUAGUAACGGCGAGUGAAGCGGGAAGAGCUCAAAUUUGAAAUCUUAAAGGGUUUCCCUUUACGAAUUGUAGUUUAAAGAAGUGUUUUCUGUUGAGGUUUUGGUAAAAGUUCUUUGGAAUAGGACAUCAUAGAGGGUGAGAAUCCCGUAUUUGACCUUUACUUUCAACUUUGUGAUACACUUUCAAAGAGUCGGAUUGUUUGGGAAUGCAGUCCAAAAUGGGUGGUAAAUUUCAUCUAAAGCUAAAUAUUGGCGAGAGACCGAUAGCGAACAAGUACCGUGAGGGAAAGAUGAAAAGAACUUUGAAAAGAGAGUUAAACAGUACGUGAAAUUGUCAAAAGGGAAGCGUUUGACACCAGUGUUGUUUUUCUGAAAAUCAAUUAAAGAACUGUUUAUGCUAAGCUGUUUAGACUUUAUCAGCUAACUGUUUAGUUCUGAGCUUUUCUUUAAUGCACUUUUCAGUUAACAAGUCAACAUCAAUUUCUUUUGCUGUAAAAAAGCUUGAGGAAGGUGGCUUGAGAUUCGUCUUAAGUGUUUAUAGCCUCUUGCCUAUGCAGUCGGAGAGAUUGAGGUCUGCAGCGUAGAUCCUUCGGGGCUAAAUGCAUUUGUGCUAAGUUAUAGCAUUUUAUAGACAACUUGUUGACUAUGAUUUGUCUUGUAGCUUACUCGCUUAUGUUAUUUUACCUACGCUUAGGAUGUUGAGUAGCGACAUACGCAC